UACGUAGGGACCAAGCGUUGUUCGGAUUUACUGGGCGUAAAGGGCGCGUAGGCGGCAAUUCAAGUCAUCUGUGAAAUCUCCGGGCUUAACUCGGAACGGUCAGUUGAAACUGCUUUGCUAGAGUGCGGAAGGGGCAAUCGGAAUUCUCGGUGUAGCGGUGAAAUGCGUAGAUAUCGAGAGGAACACCUGCGGCGAAGGCGGGUUGCUGGGCUGAUACUGACGCUGAGGCGCGAAAGCCAGGGGAGCGAACGGG
rnacentral:rRNA from 1 species